ACGUAGGGCCCGAGCGUUAUCCGGUAUCAUUGGGCGUAAAGAGCGCGUAGGUGGUUUGUCGCGUUGUUCGUGAAAACUCACAACUCAAUUGUGGGCGUGCGGGCGAUACGGGCAGACUGGAGUACUGCAGGGGAGACUGGAAUUCCUGGUGUAGCGGUGGAAUGCGCAGAUAUCAGGAGGAACACCGGUGGCGAAGGCGGCUAUCUGGACAGAGUCUGACGCUGAGGCGCGAAAGCUAGGGGAGCAAACAGGA
rnacentral:rRNA from 1 species